rnacentral:rRNA from 1 species
UACGUAGGUGGCAAGCGUUGUCCGGAUUUACUGGGUGUAAAGGGCGUGUAGCCGGGUUGACAAGUCAGAUGUGAAAUCCUGCGGCUUAACCGCAGAACUGCAUUUGAAACUGUUGAUCUUGAGUACUGGAGAGGCAGACGGAAUUCCUAGUGUAGCGGUGAAAUGCGUAGAUAUUAGGAGGAACACCAGUGGCGAAGGCGGUCUGCUGGACAGCAACUGGCGGUGAGGCGCGAAAGCGUGGGGAGCAAACAGG